CGAAAAAAGCGACAGCUGUAACAUAUACAUAACUUUGAUCAAUUUUAUUGUUCCAUUUUGUUUCCCGUUGACUUGUGUGGUGAUAACACCUGUGGUAAUCCAGAUGGAUGUUGUAGAGUACGUCCAGUUCCAGAGUCACCUGAUUGUGGUGAAACUUGUGUUGGAAGACAACAACUGAUCUGUAUCUACAGAAACUGUCACGCCUCUGUUUGUGAUGAUGGUCUAUCCACCUGUUAUGACGUCAGUGAUUCCAGCUGUGUUCUGCUCUGUUCUGAACCAUAAUAAAUAUAAAAUCAUUAGACCAGACAACCAGCAGUAUAUUCUACAAUCACAGAAAUCUUAAACAUUCUUCUACUGUCUAUACAAGUUUUAAUAUAUCACAUGUCAAUAUUACCAACCUUCUACAAGUAUUAAUAUAUUACAUGUCAAUAUUACCA